CAUCCAUGAUGUAACAAUCAGUUCUGCUUCCGAAAGAGCCUGGCUCUUGUGGACAACACCUAUACCAAAAACUCUCACUGAUCC
rnacentral:snoRNA from 1 species